rnacentral:rRNA from 1 species
CCUAUCCGUCGUGGGCGUAGGAAAUUUGAGAGGAGCUGUCCUUAGUACGAGAGGACCGGGAUGGACAUACCUCUGGUGUACCAGUUGUCGUGCCAACGGCAUAGCUGGGUAGCUAUGUAUGGACGGGAUAAGUGCUGAAAGCAUCUAAGCAUGAAGCCCCCCUCAAGAUGAGAUUUCCCAACUUCGGUUAUAAGAUCCCUCGAAGAUGACGAGGUUAAUAGGUUCGAGGUGGAAGCGUGGUGACACGUGGAGCUGACGAAUACUAAUCGAUCGAAGACUUAAUCAA